GGCAGCUACACAUGCAGUCGAGCGGAUGAAGGGAGCUUGCUCCUGGAUUCAGCGGCGGACGGGUGAGUAAUGCCUAGGAAUCUGCCUGGUAGUGGGGGAUAACGUCCGGAAACGGGCGCUAAUACCGCAUACGUCCUGAGGGAGAAAGUGGGGGAUCUUCGGACCUCACGCUAUCAGAUGAGCCUAGGUCGGAUUAGCUAGUUGGUGGGGUAAAGGCCUACCAAGGCGACGAUCCGUAACUGGUCUGAGAGGAUGAUCAGUCACACUGGAACUGAGACACGGUCCAGACUCCUACGGGAGGCAGCAGUGGGGAAUAUUGGACAAUGGGCGAAAGCCUGAUCCAGCCAUGCCGCGUGUGUGAAGAAGGUCUUCGGAUUGUAAAGCACUUUAAGUUGGGAGGAAGGGCAGUAAGUUAAUACCUUGCUGUUUUGACGUUACCAACAGAAUAAGCACCGGCUAACUUCGUGCCAGCAGCCGCGGUAAUACGAAGGGUGCAAGCGUUAAUCGGAAUUACUGGGCGUAAAGCGCGCGUAGGUGGUUCAGCAAGUUGGAUGUGAAAUCCCCGGGCUCAACCUGGGAACUGCAUCCAAAACUACUGAGCUAGAGUACGGUAGAGGGUGGUGGAAUUUCCUGUGUAGCGGUGAAAUGCGUAGAUAUAGGAAGGAACACCAGUGGCGAAGGCGACCACCUGGACUGAUACUGACACUGAGGUGCGAAAGCGUGGGGAGCAAACAGGAUUAGAUACCCUGGUAGUCCACGCCGUAAACGAUGUCGACUAGCCGUUGGGAUCCUUGAGAUCUUAGUGGCGCAGCUAACGCGAUAAGUCGACCGCCUGGGGAGUACGGCCGCAAGGUUAAAACUCAAAUGAAUUGACGGGGGCCCGCACAAGCGGUGGA
rnacentral:rRNA from 1 species